AGAUCAUGUUGAGGGAAAUUUCUGAGCAAUCCCUUUGUAUAUUUCCAAAGCUUCAUAUAAAGACUCUCUGAUUUCUUGCUGAAAAUUAGCUAUCUUAUUUUUAAGUUU